UGGGGAAUAUUGCACAAUGGGCGCAAGCCUGAUGCAGCCAUGCCGCGUGUAUGAAGAAGGCCUUCGGGUUGUAAAGUACUUUCAGCGGGGAGGAAGGUGUUGUGGUUAAUAACCACAGCAAUUGACGUUACCCGCAGAAGAAGCACCGGCUAACUCCGUGCCAGCAGCCGCGGUAAUACGGAGGGGGCAAGCGUUAAUCGGAAUUACUGGGCGUAAAGCGCACGCAGGCGGUCUGUCAAGUCGGAUGUGAAAUCCCCGGGCUCAACCUGGGAACUGCAUCCGAAACUGGCAGGCUUGAGUCUUGUAGAGGGGGGUAGAAUUCCAGGUGUAGCGGUGAAAUGCGUAGAGAUCUGGAGGAAUACCGGUGGCGAAGGCGGCCCCCUGGACAAAGACUGACGCCCAGGUGCGAAAGCGUGGGGAGCAAACA
rnacentral:rRNA from 1 species